rnacentral:hammerhead_ribozyme from 1 species
CACUGGCUGACGAGUUCCAAAUAGGAUGAAAUGCGCGUACUGGUG